AUUGAACGCUGGCGGCAUGCUUUACACAUGCUAGUCGAACGGCAGCGCGGGCUUCGGCCUGGCGGCGAGUGGCGAACGGGUGAGUAAUACAUCGGAACGUGCCCGGUAGUGGGGGAUAGCUCGGCGAAAGCCGGAUUAAUACCGCAUACGACCUGAGGGUGAAAGCGGGGGAUCUUCGGACCUCGCGCUAUUGGAGCGGCCGAUGGCAGAUUAGCUAGUUGGUGGGGUAAAGGCCUACCAAGGCGACGAUCUGUAGCUGGUCUGAGAGGACGACCAGCCACACUGGGACUGAGACACGGCCCAGACUCCUACGGGAGGCAGCAGUGGGGAAUUUUGGACAAUGGGCGAAAGCCUGAUCCAGCAAUGCCGCGUGUGUGAUGAAGGCCUUCGGGUUGUAAAGCACUUUUGGCGGGAACGAAAAGGACUGUGCCAAUACCACGGUUCGAUGACGGUACCCGCAGAAUAAGCACCGGCUAACUACGUG
rnacentral:rRNA from 1 species